rnacentral:rRNA from 1 species
UAGGGAAUCUUCCACAAUGGACGCAAGUCUGAUGGAGCAACGGCCGCGUGAGUGAAGAAGGUUUUCGGACCGUAAAGCUCUGUUGUUGGUGAAGAAGGAUAGAGGUAGUAACUGGCCUUUAUUUGACGGUAAUCAACCAGAAAGUCACGGCUAACUACGUGCCAGCAGCCGCGGUAAUACGUAGGUGGCAAGCGUUGUCCGGAUUUAUUGGGCGUAAAGCGAGCGCAGGCGGAAGAAUAAGUCUGAUGUGAAAGCCCUCGGCUUAACCGAGGAAUUGCAUCGGAAACUGUUUUUCUUGAGUGCAGAAGAGGAGAGUAGAACUCCAUGUGUAGCGGUGGAAUGCGUAGAUAUGUGGAAGAAUACCAGUGGCGAAGGCGGCUCUCUGGUCUGCAACUGACGCUGAGGCUCGAAAGCAUGGGUAGCGAACAGGAUUAGAUACCCUGGUAGUCCAUGCCGUAAACGAUGAGUGCUAAGUGUUGGGAGGCUUCCGCCUCUCAGUGCUGCAGCUAACGCAUUAAGCACUCCGCCUGGGGGAGUACGACCGCAAGGUUGAAAC